UAACAAAUUCUUAUUGUCGUAUAGAAAUGCCAACUAUUGCUUCGGUAAAACAAACAAAGGAAUUUUACAGAUGCAGGAAUCUUAGCCUCAUGAGAAAUUGGAGAUGAAAAUGAGUGGGAAAAGAUUAAUCGAGGACACAAUAGUAUUAUUCCAGGAAGUGCUAGUUCUUCCUAGAUUCCGGUUACAAUGUUCUUAACGCGUGGAAAUUAGUCUUGACCAGGAAACAUCUAUAACGGCAUGUAUUUUCUGCCGUGAUUGUAAAUCUGUUUGGAACAUGCGGUUUGUCCGUUAAUCUAGGCGCUGUUGUUCAAUUGAGUCAAUAUUAUUUGUUGGUAGAUUAGUGUGUGCAAGAGCGCUCUGUUCAUUAUUGACCAAUUCGAGCACGUAUUGGUAAAUUUCACACCGGCAAUUACGGUGAAAUCGUUCGUGGUCGCUGGAAAUUAGCAGUAUCGUUUGCGGUCGUGAGCUGAUUGACACUGCGUGAGCGGGGAAUUAUGUGAAGCAGCUUUGCUUUGUCGUUUCAUGCAUUUAAUAGGUUUACGGCGGUGGACAGAGUUUGUAAAAAAUGAAGACAAGGAGUAACAAGUACCUGCAAAAAUCAUCCAUCAGCCGGAUAUGUGCUGUCGGAGGGUUUUUCAUUAGCAUUCCCGUCUUUCUAACUGGUAAGAACCAAUUCCUUCAAUUCUGUCAACUUUAACCUUUUGAAAGAUACUAGUACUUAAGUUAUACGUUUAAUUUUUCUUGAAUUCAGGCAUGAAUCUAAAAGAUACUGUGAACUAUCUCUGAGUGUAUGAAAUCAGUUUAGAAAUCCAAUGGAAAUAAAGUUAAUUUUAACGCCGAAUAGUCAUUAUUUUUCUUAGAAAAAUAAAAAAUGAUCGUCUUUUAGGGAAGUUUUAACAGAUUAAUUUAUAAAGAGCUGAAACAGAAUAUUCAUGUCAUGCAUGAAUACGGCUG